AGCUUUCCACAGCCUCCUCAACCAGAAUGAACUAAAUUACAGAAGUGCCAAAGAAAUGAAGCACAAUGUGGAGAAGUAAUAUGGAACAGCGUUGUUAAUGACACAUUUAUUCUAUAAAGUACAACCCAGGACGAAUCAAUGAUUUAGUAACUAUCGACAUGAGAGCCAGACAAACACCACCUUGUAUGAUCAAUCCUGCUGUUUUGCUGUUAUACUCUUUUCUUGUUUAUUGUGCAUUUCUAAUCCCCUUCCUGACUGCUGCCACCCAACAUUUUUGCUCACCUACUGUGUUAUUGCAUAGCCUACAAUUGUAAGGUUUGCAACAAGGAGCAUGUUCAGAGCUUAGCUUAUUUCUUACCUACUUCAUGUUGGUACUACAGGUCAAUGCCCAAGAGAUAAUAAUGAAAAUAGCUAAGGCUAUGCUCAACUGCACAGCUAGCGCAGAGGAAGUAGGAAAACAGACCUUCACUGAUAAAUGUAAGUGCAACAUUUUAUUAGUAGGUGAAUUUUCCAACGUUCUCCUAAGUACAUGCCCUGAGCUCUCUUCACAUCCAUCCCCAAGCUUAGGGGCACAAUCAAAGUCUGGCUUUUGUUUGUUUAAGAAAUAUUACACUAUGGGUUUAUACACUGAGCUGUAAUUGACUCUCAGUAUUCAAUCAUUCAAUGUAGAAUGGGUUUUCACAGGUUGCUGUAAUACAUCUAUAUAGGUUAGGAUGUUGGAAGCACACCUUUUUAGGGAAAGUGCAAGUUUUUUCAUUUUCUUGCACUAUAAUAGAAAAGAAUUAAUGAACUUUUCAGGUGCACAAAGCAUAUUAAAUUAUCUUAUUGUUCUUAUUAGUCUUCAACCCCUUGUUCAAGAGAGAGGAAAAUGUGUAUAUUUUCCAACAAUAUAUGCAAUCCUUAGGAUAGGCAGGAAAUUAUUUAACACUUUAGAUGUUCUUCAGAGAAGCAUGCCUUUUCAUUAUGUUAUCUACAGUCAAGGAAUUAAAAAGAUUCACAGCAUUUAAACUUUGUGAAAGAAAACAUGUAUGAGAAAGGGAAUAUAAAUGAAAGAUAUUUUGCUGGUUAAAUCACAGCUUGACUCCAUUACUUUUCUGGGUAAGCUUAUGAAGCUCAGAGUAAAACAGAUUUGACUAAAUCCUUGUUUUCUUUUCCAACCAACUACUCUUUAUUCAACAAUUUAGGAGAUUGUAUAGUGACUCUAAACAUUUCAGAGAAUAUACUUUCUCUUCCAUAGUUCUCAUUCCUGUGCUCCUCUGCAAACCAAUGGCCCUCCAGUAUUACAAAAUAAUGAGGCCAAUUGUUUCAUGUGUAAAUACUGGAACUAUUGAAGUGAAGAGAAAAAGGAGAUAAACUGAUUUAGUAUAAUUUUUGUAAAAGGAGAAUUCCCUUUCAUAAGAGUGCUGCUAGGAUGAAUAAUAUAAACUCCUACAAUUUAAUCAUUUCCUCAUCCUUCUUUUUCCUUAUUCUUAAUUUCAUGUUUUCUAUAACUUAACAUAGCUUUAAAUUGGAAUUGAAUGCAAGCAUGUUUUGUGAAGGCCUAACGGUAAGAGUAAAUGGAAGGAACACUACAGAUCUUGGUUAUUUUGCAAGUGCGACACAAUACUACACAGAACUUCUAAAUUCAACAUGCAUUCUGCUUCUUUUUUAAAGAAAAGGUUUAGAAAAAAUACAUAUAUAUUUUCAUGCAAACCUUGCUUGUUUGAUAUGACAGAAGAAAGGAAAGCCAGUUCUUAUUUUUGCUGUGGAGUUGAAAAACAAGUUAUUGUUUGCAAGCUCUGAUUUCUGUUCCAGGAGUAACAUUAAAGUUGUUAAGUAACCCAUGGUAAGUCAUUUGACUCCCGCAAUUUCAUUUUUUCUUCUUAAAAUAGGAAUAAAAUACUAUUUUGGUUCUCAAAAGAAUUUUCAUGAGCUCUGGGAUUUUCUCACAAAGUGGGGUAUAUAAAAGCAGACACAUUUUCUGUGAUUAUGGAAGAAAAUCUAUUACUGGAAUAUUGUCAGAAAGAAAAUAUAAAAGGGGCACAGAUCUGGAGAAGAAUAUGUUAUUUUCAAAAUGAACUAAUACUUCCAGAUACAGAAUUUGUUACUCAGUUCUCUGUAGCAAAUUUCUGGGUUUACAGCAUAGUCUAUAACAAUCUACUAAUAUCAACUGAAUGCAUUUGAGCUAGAUUCAUGUAGAGGUCAAUUUUAUGUGGAUUACAACACUUUUACACUGUAGUCAGAAUUUGAUUAACUAGAAACACUUUUUACUUCUGUAAGAGGUUUCCUUUAUUAUUCUUUAUAAUGUGUAGUUUAGUUGUGUUUUCUGAUAUUAUCACCUUACAUGAAGUGUGUAUGUAUGUGUAUUCUGUAUCCAUAAAGAUUAUCUCUGUUGAUU
rnacentral:lncRNA from 7 species